UGCACGUCCAUUGAACAUAUCUACAAAUGACUUAAAAUUCUUUAUUCAGAUGAUUACAACUUUAAUUAAAAGGUAGAAACUCCUUCAGAAUUCUCCUCAGCAUAAGGAAAACAUAGCCACUUUUCAGAAACAAAUUUGAUCAGCAGGUUAUAGGCUGACACAGACAUGCUUACUACUCAGUAAGAUUCCUAGCAGCCAAGAAACAAUAAAGUGCUAAUUUCAGACUUUCAUUUCUAGCAUCCACCAUAGUCUAAACCAUUUCUUCUCUUAUUGGGUUGAUAGCCACUAAAACCAUAAAAAAGCAGCUUUAAAAUUUAUUAAAAAUAUUAUUCAGUUGUUAGUAGUGGUGCAAACUGUUUCCUAACAGAUUAUAGAAAUCUAUUCAGAUACUUUUCUAUUUGUGUCUACUGGGCAGAUUCUCUAACACUUGGCUAUAUGACAGUGCUUCUUCACUGGUUUGUAAAGUAGAAAUAAAGGUGUCUAGGUACCUCCAGAUGUUGGAGGAUCAAAGAUGCAUUUCAAGUGAAAAAUCCAUUUUCUUACUGGUUACAUCAUUUAAAAAUCCAAAAGAAUUUUUCAAGUGUUUUAAAUAAAACGCUUGUGCAAGCAGAAUGUUUUUUUUCUGUAUGAAUAAGCCCCUAUUACAACAUAAAGAACCUUCGUGUUCUACAGCAUAGUUCCAAACCAAAUUCUUCAGAAAUUUCCUUGCACGUGUAACCGUAUGCAACACUUUAGCCUUGCAUUUGAAAAUAUCUAUCUUUCUACAAGCAUUAAACCUCACACUACUGCCAGUUAGAUCAAACGAUGAGACACUCACUCUAACACAGAAUAUACCAACUUCAUGUCAUAGUUAUGUCAAUAAACUAGGUUGCAUGUUAUUAAAUUGCUGAAAGACACCAGGGAGUCUCUUUUUCCUGGAAGGACUUGAACACACCCAGUCUUAUAAGGAUCCAGACCUUUGUUUCACAAUUUAUUCAAAGGAUGUCAAGAAGAAUAUACAGUUUUGUGUUCCCAUAAUCUGUUUCAAAAAUAACAAAGGAGUGUUAGGUAAGUGUUUUAGUAAUCCCACCUAUGUCUGGAUCUAAAUAAUAGUGAGAUACAAAACUAACUGAUAAAGGUAGAACCAUAAAUAGACAAUACAAAAUCAGAACACAAAGACAAAAAAACCCAUUUUUUAUUUCAACAAAGAAACUAAACUCAAUCUUAGCAAAAAUAGAAUCUGUCCAUAAAAAAUGUGUACGUACAGCACAAGAAAAUAACAUAUUAUCACAAGUGACUUUUUAGGAAAAAAAAAAGCAAACAACAAAAUGAUGUGGGCUCUCUUGAGAAGAAUGCAGUUUAUUUUUGUGCUUACAUUUUCUAUACAGUGUAGAGAAAUCCAGACUAUCUAGAACAUGAAGUGGAAAUUAGCAUGUCCAGUUAGUUUGAGAAUUAGUCAGCAGUUAAGGAAGAAAGUUUGAAUCACUGUUUUAGACUUGGUUGUCUCAAUUCAGUCCAAGAACACUUAUCUUCUUGGUUCAACGUGGUACUAUAAUAUUGUAAAGAUCCAAGUAGACACUAUAAGCUCACUUGAAUACCUAUCUUUCCUUCCUAUCUUGAUUUUCUUUGCAGAUCAUGGCUUUACUUAAGACACUGAAAUAAAGAUGACUGUUAAAAGGUGGGCAGUUUCCUGAAUAUUUCCAAGAACAUGUAAAUUACAACCAUAUUUCCACUAUUUCUGCUGCUACAUCUACUAUUUCUUGUCUGAGUACAUCUGAUUAGCAUCAGUGCAUUUGAUCCCAUACUAUAGUAACAGUAUACAUCUUGCAUAGGUUUACAGACUUUGUGAAAGGCUGAGUGAAUUAAUAUGAUCCACUUUUCAAAUUUCAGAUUUUCACAUCAGAUGGCACCAGUCUCUUGUCACACAGCUGCAAACUGUCUUGAACACAGUUUUAUCCCAUGAAGUUCCUAAUCCACUUAACAAUUUUUAUGCAAGAUACACAAAUGUUUAAACAUGAUAGUAUGUCCAAACUAUAUCACAUUUAUUCAUUUUUGGCAAUCUUUUCACUGAAGAUUAAAAAUUUUUUAACAUUUUUUAAAAAUUAUUUUUGGGUCAGAGGCUAUUAAUAGCUACUCCUCAGAAACAUUGGGUUGAUCUGCAGUCUAAGGCAUCAGAUGUGAUCUAAGAUCUAAAUCUGUACUUUGAGAAACUGGGAGCCUGGUCAAUUCAGUUCCAUAGGGAAAAAGACUACCUAGCUACGGCCCUUGAUGGGAAAGGCUCAUGUGGAGCAGAGCUUCUGGUUUUGCACCAUUGCACCCUCUAGGAUCCAGGCACAUGGUAUGGUCAUGUCUAAGGCAGUAUACAGAAAACAAAACAGAUAAAGGAAGGGACCUCUGGAGAAGGAACAUAAAGGUCAGAGGGCUUCUAGACACAACUGGGAAAUUUCUUGCAGAUAGAAAAGUGAUGGGAGAUCAGCAAAGGUCAGCUCAUCUGCACUGGACUGGGCCAACGACUUGAAUUAGUGAGGGAAGCUGGAGCUGUGCUGGACCAGUACUUCUAAAAAUGGCAGAGACUCUAUGGACACAAAGACUGCAUUCUGUGCAAAUGCAAGGAAGCCAUCGUUAUGGCCAUGUGUAGAUACAGGACUCAUUUUUUUUUAUAAGGGAAAGUGUGAUGGUGAAAUACAAAAAAUUAAAAAUCUUAGAACUGUGAGAUUACAGCAAUUUAUCUGUACAUGCUAGAAACAUUUAUUUCAAUAUAUUCCUCCACAAUACAGAGAUUCCCAGAAAAACAUUCUGAUGACUUUCAGAAGGAUCAUUCACAUUCAUAGAGUCCAAGUAUCUUGCUGGCCUUUUAGCACCAUGCUUUUAGCUGAUAAUUUCAUAACUAUACAGCUGCUCUUUCUCACAGUGGUAAAAGCAUGUGUAAAAAUUCUGUCCAUUUGUACUGAGACUAAACAACCUGACUCAAACGGUUCUUCCUAAGGCAUUACCAUCACCUAACCUUAUUGCUACCUAAGAUUAAAAGAAAAAAGAGAUUAAUCUAAUUUUUCAAAUAGUUCAGUGUAAAUCAGACAUGGAAAAAA